UUGUCACUUCCUCUUGCAUCGGUCUGAUGAUGAGAAGGACACUGCUCUCCACUAGGACCUGGAGCUGAAAAGAGAUCCCACUGGCCAGGCUGCUCUUGAGGAGAAAGAGGAUGGACCAGUUGAAAAUCACUGAAAAUGUGACCCAGAAAAAUGAAUCACAUCAGGCUGCAAAGGCCUAUCGGAUCCUCAAGGCCAUCCACACUACCCUGGCUCUCUUGGCUCUUGCCCUGGCUGUGGCCCUGACGGUUAUGACUCUUCUGCGUAAGUUCCCCAUUCAAAGGGCUCCAGGAAACAAACCUCUUUCUUUGAUCAGGUGGAGAUAAAACACCAGAGCAAGUCCUGGGAAGGAGAAGGGUCUGGAGUCUUUAGACCAACUCCUGUCAUGGGUUUGGGAGUGGAAGGGGUGGGGUGGGGAGCAGGCACAGUAUUGACCCCUCUUUAGCUUCUCUGGAAAGGAAAGGAAUCAUAGGCAAAGGGGAUUCUAAAGAAUCAAUCAGUUGGUCUUUAGCUGUACCUACGAUGAUGUGCAAGGCACUAUGCUAAGCGCUGGGGAUGCAAACAUGCGGAAAGGAAUCCUGCCCUCCGGGAGCUGACAAUCUAUCAGGAGAAACAGCAUCCACUCAUGAGAACAUACCAAAACAAACAAAAAUACAAAAAGGAAAUGUAAGUUAGGAAACUGAAGCCCCCGAGAGAUUGGGUGAGUUCCCAAGGUCACACAGAUGGAAAGGGCAUCAUCAGAGCCACCAGCAGUCCAUUCAGGAAGACCUGAGGUUACGUCCAACCUCAGAUACUUAUUGAGUGAAUGACCCAGGCAAGUCACU